UGGAAAAGGGCACAAGCCCUGAACUAUCCCCCAUGCACAAGACAAACUAACUAAAGUGAUGUUUGAUCUUUAGGAGACAUCGACAGCGAUGGAGCUUCUUCCUCUUCUGUGUCUCUGCCUCCUGACUCGCUCUGGAAUCACGUCUGCUCAACAAAAUGGGCCAGCAGUCAUCAAAGUAGAAGGAGGGGCUGAUGUUGUGUUACCCUGCUCUCUCAGCACCAAGGAGAACAUUGAGUUUAAACUCUUUGACUGGAAGAAAGUUGCUCAGAAAGAUGAUGGUCUGAAGGAGGUGUUCCUGUAUAACGGAGGCAUUCAUUACAACAACGGCCGAGGUGGUCAGAGUGAAGAGUUCAAAGGUCGAGUCUCUCAUUUUCAAGAUGAACUGAAACAUGGCAACGCCUCCAUAAUCAUCAGAAAUACAAAGAUAUCUGACAGUGGAAACUACACCUGUGAUUUUCCAAAUCUUCAGCCACGUAAAACAUUCUACAUUGAGCUUGUUGUUGAUCCUGUCUUAAAAGACAGAACAGGGGAAAACAUCCGAGCUCCAAAACCAUUUUUCAGAAUACGUAAAACUGAAGAUGGAGUGCUGCUGCAGUGUAAAGUUCAUGGCUCUCCAAAACCUAAAGUAGAGUGGCAGGACAGUGCUGGAAAGAUCCUUCCUGCUGAGGAGCCCCAAGUCUCAGAGAGAGGAGGCCGUUUCUACAUCACUCUCACCACUACUGUGACCAGGGCUGACUUCUAUCUCUGUGUAGCCACUCAGAAGACAAUCCGCCAUCAGAUUUCUACAAGGAUUUAUGUCAAUGCGUACAGCUCUGGACCGCAGACACAUCCUUCAGAUCAAAACUUGAGGAAAGUGAUGAUUGGAGUUGCUGUUGGCGUUCUCGCACCACAGAGCCAGGUUCAUUGUGAGACAAAAGUGACCCGGCAGAAAAGGAGCCAGAGCCCCAAUCAACACCAACUUUAAAGUUCUCUGCAGAUGUGUGUGGUAUUGUACGUCUUUUGUAGCGAGGACUGCUUUGAAUUUUAGAACAAAAGAGUGAGGACAUUUUUGGAGAUUGAGGACAUUUUCUCUUCAACUUCUUAAAAGACAUACCUGACAGUAUUGAGGGCAAAGUCACCAGAGUCUUGUAUUCUCUCAAAACAGCAAAUGAGAUCCUCUGUGUCCUCAAAAACAGUAUUGAUGGCACGGACAUGAAAGUUCCAUCUGACGUUGCUGGAUCUUGGCAGUCUAUGGGCAACCACUUUAUCCAGAAAACAUGGCCCCAUCGUAUGCCUGGCAGAUGAGCUUACUUUUCUGAUCCUCAGGAAGGAUAGUAGCAAGACGCUGUUUUAGGACAGUAUCAAUGGACUCAGCUGUAACUGACUGCAGAGGGAUGAACUCAAAAAAUCUUUCCUGCACGUUGUUUUUGUCGGAUCCACAAAAUGUCACACAGCCUAUUACCCUGGACAGUAUGUGUCAAUUUUUUGUCACCUCUUCGUUGUGCCUUCUAAUGCCCAUCCUGUAGCCUUCAUCUAGCUAGCUAGUUGUUCAUCAAUGCUAACUCUGCCAACAAACGUUAGCUUCAUGCUAUUACCAAGAUGUCUGUGACUACUUUCAUGACAUUUGCAUUUUUCAGAGAGAUGUUUUUUCUGACUCUUACCCCUGUUGUCCACAAAACCUCAGUGCAUUGCUAACAUCACAUCCAGCCAGCCAACUCCGUUUGUAGCUCCGUUGUAGCUUCGCCCUCCGUCACUGGCCUCAGCCUGCUGCUGGAUUUGUAAAUCGGGUUGGUCCGGUCCAAAAUCAUUUAUCCUCUUCUUUUCUUUCAGUGAACGUCUUGUGAACAUUUUUUUUUGUAAAUCAAUAACAGAAUUUGGUUUAACUGCUGCCAUUUUCUCUACGAAAGUGAUCUGUCAUUGUGUGAUUUCUCAGCUUGCAAGGUUUUGGCGGAGUGACGGUAUCGCCUGCGCGAGUAGCAUAAAAUUGAAUGACAGGUGUCAAGAACUAAUCAGAUUGGAUAAAAUAACAUGUAUCCAUUUCUGAUUCGCCAGGGAAGCAGUGACCUGCGCCCGGAUGAAAAUUUUUAUGAAACCAAUUAGAGACCAGCUUCAGGUCACAUGCUGGCUGAAAGUUUAAGGACUUAAGGCCCAGACACAGAGCCGACGGCCAAACUUCGGCAGAAACGGCAGUUGGGCUGAUCAGUCUCCCCAAAUUGGCCGUGCAGUUGCUGAAUCUGUCUUCAUUUCAGCUCAACAAAGGUCAGUUUAAAAGAUUUUCGUCAGAUUUUGAGAGACUC